rnacentral:rRNA from 1 species
UAUACAUGCAAGUCGAGCGGACAGAAGGGAGCUUGCUCCCGGAUGUUAGCGGCGGACGGGUGAGUAACACGUGGGUAACCUGCCUGUAAGACUGGGAUAACUCCGGGAAACCGGAGCUAAUACCGGAUAGUUCCUUGAACCGCAUGGUUCAAGGAUGAAAGACGGUUUCGGCUGUCACUUACAGAUGGACCCGCGGCGCAUUAGCUAGUUGGUGAGGUAACGGCUCACCAAGGCGACGAUGCGUAGCCGACCUGAGAGGGUGAUCGGCCACACUGGGACUGAGACACGGCCCAGACUCCUACGGGAGGCAGCAGUAGGGAAUCUUCCGCAAUGGACGAAAGUCUGACGGAGCAACGCCGCGUGAGUGAUGAAGGUUUUCGGAUCGUAAAGCUCUGUUGUUAGGGAAGAACAAGUGCAUGCUCCACUGCUUGCACCGUGACGGUACCUAACCAUUAAGCCACGGCUAACUACGUGCCAGCACCCGCGGGAAUACUUAGGGGGCAAGCUGCGUCCCUAAUGGAGCGAACAGGAUUAGAUACCUGGUAGUUCACGCCGUAAACGAUGAGUGCUUAGUGUUAGGGGGUUUCCGCCCCUUAGUGCUGCAGCUAACGCACUAAAGCACUCUCCCCUGGGGAGUACGGUCGCAAGACUGAAACUCAAAGGAAUUGACGGGGGCCCGCACAAGCGGUGGAGCAUGUGGUUUAAUUCGAAGCAACGCGAAGAAACCUUAUCAGGUCUUUGACAUAUCUCUGACAAACCCUAUAGAUAUUCGGACAGGUGGUGCAUGUUUGUCUUCAGCUCGUGUCGUGAGAUGUUGGGUUAAUGUCCGCGCAACGAGCGCAACCUUAUAUCUUAGUUGCCAGCAUUCAGUUGGGCACUCUAAGGUGACUGCCGGUGACAAACCGGAGGAAGGUGGGGAUGACGUCAAAUCAUCAUGCCCCUUAUGACCUGGGCUACACACGUGCUACAAUGGACAGAACAAAGGGCUGCGAGACCGCAAGGUUUAGCCAAUCCCACAAAUCUGUUCUCAGUUCGGAUCGCAGUCUGCAACUCGACUGCGUGAAGCUGGAAUCGCUAGUAAUCGCGGAUCAGCAUGCCGC